GUUUGGUAGGUUUCAUGAUUUUCAAUGCCUUCUAUGCUCUGCAUCUCUGCAGAUCAUUGUUUAGGAGUUAUGGUGUGCAUUUUGCUGCUUUUGUUUCUGGUGUGUCCUGGACAUUCUACCUUAAUUCUUCAGGCUUGAGGACAGGAAUAAUUUAGAGAAGUUGACUCUUGCUGUCCUUUCACAUCUUCCAACAGCAGUUUUAUAUGUUCAUGACCUUUCUAGGGAGUGUGGCACUUCACCAUCUGAUCAGUUUUCAAUAUACAAAGAGAUCAAAGAAAGGUUUAGUGGACAUUUAUGGCUUGAUGUUGUAUCCAAAUUUGAUCUGUUGAAGCCAUCACCUGUGGUCUAUGCAACAGAAAAGCCAUCUCCCACAGAAUUUGAGCUGGAGAAGUACCGGAAAUCAGGUCCUGAUGGAGCUAUUCAUGUAUCUGUCAAAACACAACAGGGACUAAAUGAGCUGAAGAAAAAAGUGCAUGAACUGCUUUGCCUGCAGAUGGCGAAGAUAAAACAUACAAUGGAACAACCAAGAGAAGUGAAAGGUACCACUCAAAGCGUAACAGCAAAUUUGUGAAGAAACUCGCAGCUAAAAUAGAGGAAGUUGAAGUCUUCAUAAAGCCUGUAAAUCUUUGUAAAAUAUGUUAGGCACCAUCUAUGCCGCACCUCCAUACUCGAAAACCAGCAAAAGCGUAGCAACAAGAGCUGAAUCUUAAGUGCUUAUGUACCUUGGCAUCUUUGACAUCUUUAUUGUUACAUUCACAUUGGAGAUACAAUGAAAGCUUGUUUGUUCGUCGCCUUUGAACUUUCAAUCAAUUUGGCCACAGCAUGUAAUUUUUGUUAUCAUUUCGUUGUAACGUUGAUGAGCUCAAAACUCAAAUCUUGUCAGAAAUAAUGAUAAAAUUGGUUUGA